rnacentral:rRNA from 1 species
GAGUAAUGCCUAGGAAUCUGCCUAGUAGUGGGGGAUAACGUCCGGAAACGGGCGCUAAUACCGCAUACGUCCUACGGGAGAAAGUGGGGGAUCUUCGGACCUCACGCUAUUAGAUGAGCCUAGGUCGGAUUAGCUAGUUGGUGAGGUAAUGGCUCACCAAGGCGACGAUCCGUAACUGGUCUGAGAGGAUGAUCAGUCACACUGGAACUGAGACACGGUCCAGACUCCUACGGGAGGCAGCAGUGGGGAAUAUUGGACAAUGGGCGAAAGCCUGAUCCAGCCAUGCCGCGUGUGUGAAGAAGGUCUUCGGAUUGUAAAGCACUUUAAGUUGGGAGGAAGGGCAGUUACCUAAUACGUGAUUGUUUUGACGUUACCGACAGAAUAAGCACCGGCUAACUCUGUGCCAGCAGCCGCGGUAAUACAGAGGGUGCAAGCGUUAAUCGGAAUUACUGGGCGUAAAGCGCGCGUAGGUGGUUUGUUAAGUUGGAUGUGAAAGCCCCGGGCUCAACCUGGGAACUGCAUCCAAAACUGGCAAGCUAGAGUAUGGUAGAGGGUGGUGGAAAUUUCCUGUGUAGCGGUGAAAUGCGUAGAUAUAGGAAGGAACACCAGUGGCGAAGCGACCACCUGGACUGAUACUGACCACUGAGUGCGAAAGCGUGGGGGAGCAAAC